ACCAGGCGUUUGUAAAUAAGUAUAACCUAUGACAUUCGCUCCCUUAGGAGAGUAUGACACGAUUCCGCACUAAUUGAUAGCAUCAGUUGACCUAUUUUACAACAAAAACACAAUACACACCAAAAUUACAAACGAUCGACAUGUACGUCGUUGAAUAGUUGCGAAGUUACGCGGCCUGGCGUAAUUUGCUGACCGCCACAAUGAGCGGUGGCGACCGACACAGUCCAUCGGAUAAACAUAAUAGCAGCGACAAAAGUAAAUCAUGUCUACGGUCGACUGGUUAUACCUUUACAGCCGUAUUCAUAAAAAAUCCUUAAAUGAGGAAUGAUCAGCUUAUUAACUAAUCCACUGUUUAGGCUUAAUAAGCCGUUGAUAAGAACCAUGAUUUAUAAACGUUUAUUAGGGGUUUCUUAACUAAUAAGCAGAUUAGACGCGUUAUGUUGGCAUCUUGGCACAUAGACAAAAAAUGGCUGAACAUUAAUUUAAAAAAAAAAGUUUGACAGCAACACUAGCGGUAAAUCGUAAAAUCCUGAACAAUGCGAUGUACAAUUUUAACCAGUUUUCUGGGUUAUUAUAUAUUAAAAUAGCCUCUGCAUCACAAAAACAUAUAAAUAAUAUUGCACGACUGGAAAUUUUACAAAACUUGUUUCAAUAUAUUGUGAGGUAAAGAGGACGGAGUCAAGAAUUGGAGAAAUCACAGCAAGAAAUCACCGCAAGCCCGCCUGCGCGCCAUCGCCACCGUGAUACCACGGAUUCCAACACAUUUUGUUCUGGUGGCGAAACACGAACGAUAUUGACACUAUUCAUAUCAAAUGAUCGGUGAAGAUAAAUCAGGUUGUGAGUAUUCCAUCAUCAGCUAUUGUCCGGAGCUGGCUACAUAAUCCGGAGGCCACACUGUUCUGGCAUCUAACCAGCCAGCAAAUGAAGUUGGUUGUACUGAAAUAAAG